GGCUACCUGGAACCAUUGAACUCGAGUUAAAUUAAAGCUCGAAGGAAAAUAAAUGAACAAGGAAAGUAGAAGGUAUAUACCUUUGGCCGUUUCUUUGGAUUUUAGAGCAAGAACUUUCUUCGGGCGACCGUCAAAAAGUUUUUUAAAAAUUUCUUCGACUGGCAUGUGACAGAAGUCCUUGGUGUAAGCAUCCCACCACUCAACGAAGGUGCUAUCACACUGAGAUUCUAGGUUUCUCGACCGAAGAUGAAAUUUG
rnacentral:lncRNA from 1 species